rnacentral:rRNA from 1 species
AUCGUAUAAAAGAGGUGCAAGGGCUGUCGCUGACCAUCAAAGGUCGUGCACGUCCAAGCGCUUCCACACAAUCCAUCUCACCCCUUUGUGCAUCACCGCGUGGGUCCCUCCUUUGCGGGAAGGGCCUGCGUUUUAUCAUAAAACUUGACACAGUGUAGAAUGUUCAUUUUUGCGAUCACACGCAAUCAAUACAACUUUCAACAACGGAUCUCUUGGCUCUCGCAUCGAUGAAGAACGCAGCGAAAUGCGAUACGUAAUGUGAAUUGCAGAAUUCAGUGAAUCAUCGAAUCUUUGAACGCACCUUGCGCCCCUUGGCAUUCCGAGGGGCACACCCGUUUGAGUGUCGUGAAAUUCUCAAAACUCUUUUUCUUGUCGAGAAAAGGAUUUUUGGACUUGGAGGUUCAAUGCUUGUCUUCACUUUUGAAAGCGAGCUCCUCUCAAAUGAAUUAGUGGGGUCUGCUUUGCUGAUCCUUGACGUGAUAAGAUGUUUCUACGUUUUGGAUUUGGCACUGUCCUUUGGACGUUCGCUCCCAACUGUCUUAUGGACAACGAUGGUGCUUCGGUCACCGCCAUCUACAUUGGCGGGAGGCUGGACCCACAAAAAACCCUUGACCUCAAAUCGG